rnacentral:misc_RNA from 1 species
GUUGAAGAACGCAGCAAAAUGCGAUAAGUAAUGUGAAUUGCAGAAUUCAGUGAAUCAUCGAAUCUUUGAACGCACAUUGCGCCCGCCAGUACUCUGGCGGGCAUGCCUGUCCGAGCGUCAUUUCAACCCUCAGGGCCCUCCAGCAGGGCGCUGGUGUUGGGGAUCGGCAGUCCCAGCGGCUGCCGUCCCUGAAAUGUAGUGGCGGUCCCACCGUGACCUCCCCUGUGCAGUACAUCGCUCGCAGAGGGACAGCGGUGCGGCCACGCCGUAAAACGCCCAACUCUUCAAGGUUGACCUCGGAUCAGGUAGGACUACCCGCUGAACUUAAGCAUAUCAAUAAGCGGAGGA